rnacentral:rRNA from 1 species
AGUAGUUUGAUCAUGGCUCGAGGACGAACGCUGGCGGCAGGCCUAACACAUGCAAGUCGAGCGAGAUGCUGUUGAUUGAAACUUCGGUAGAUUGAUUCAGCGGACAGCGGCGGACGGGUGAGUAACGCGUAGGUAAGCUGCCCCCUUGCAGGAGGAUAGCCUGGGGAAACCUGAAUUAAUACUCCAUAACGCGCCUGGGUCACAUGGCUCCGGGCGCCAAAGAUUUAUCGGCAAGGGAUGCACCUGCGUCUGAUUAGAUAGUUGGUGAGGUAACGGCCCACCAAGUCAACGAUCAGUAGCCGACCUGAGAGGGUGAUCGGCCACAUUGGAACUGAGACACGGUCCAAACUCC